rnacentral:rRNA from 1 species
UACGGGGGAUGCAAGCGUUAUCCGGAAUUAUUGGGCGUAAAGGGUCCUGAGGUGGCUAGCCAAGUCUAUUGUGAAAUAUCAGGGCUUAACCCUGAACAUGCGGUGGAAACUAGAAAGCUUGAGUACAGUAGGGGCGGAGGGAAUUUCCGGUGGAGCGGUGAAAUGCGUAGAGAUCGGAAAGAACACCAACGGCGAAAGCACUCUGCUGGGCCGACACUGACACUGAGACGCGAAAGCGUGGGGAGCGAACAGG